rnacentral:sRNA from 1 species
CUAGUUUUCCUUGCUUACUCAUCUUUCUCAUACUGCUGACUCAUGUACUGGACGGGGCCCGAGGAGGUGGUGAGCAUGCUGACCAGAGCAUGUAUAGAUAGCUCGAGGGAGACGGGAAGGCAGAGAGAUGGCUGGAAAGAAACCGAAGGGCGAAGAGAGAUGUCGAGAACCCAAAGAGAAUUUAGACGAUCGGCCGCGGUCGUCGGAGGUGGAGGUACUUUGGUUCGGCGGCAGAGAGAGGUGGAGGUUUCGGGUAUCACUUCUGCAUAGCGUCGUGACAUCGCCGUUCACGACCUCCACUAGCAAUAUCGCGGGUAUAAGGGUCAAUGGCGUCUUCAAGCCAUUUUCACCAUCAUAUACGACACAACAUCGAUAAACUAAUAAACCACAUUAACAAUCAACACGUCCAUAUGUGCGUUGCAGCAAUCCAAUCUGAUACGCGGGGCGUAUAUUCAUCCACUAAUCAACCACAAUCACCUCCCGCUGCGCCUCGUCGACCUCAGUCUUCUUGAAAUAAUCAGAGCAAUAUUGGGCAAAUUAACGCCAGCUCCCAAUCCAGAGGUGCAGCAAAGGAAUGCUUUUCCUCCGGAAUCUGGAGCAAGGUGACCUUGGCCAAAGCACUGUUUUACUUCAUCCCUAUUUGUUGAAUCAGAAGUGUAGGCGAGAGCAGAGUACCCGAACUUCUGAACAGCUUUCCUGGCAUCUUCGGUGUGUGGUUUCAGUUUGCAAAACACGAUUGCUUGUGACGUUGGCUUCUUCCAAGUUGUAAAAUGUUUGACAAUUUUUCGGACAAUGUCAGGUAGAUUGUAACCAUUGGCACCUUCCUUGUCAACGAGUGUGCAGCUUGAUAUAACACUGUACCUGUCAAAAAUGGUCAGAGAAAUCGAGGCUGGAUCAGCGAAAGAGUACUUACUUGGCCAAAUUUAAUGUCACUGGCACCCUUAUUUCAGUCACUUCACUAAUCCAGUAUGCCUUGAGCAAUCGAGGUAGUAGCACUGGGGGAAGAGUUGCAGAGACCAAAACUUUUGGAAUAUUGAACAUUGCAAGCAUUUUGACCUCCCUCCUCCCUAACGCCUCCUCGUACGGUCCUUCUCCACUUCCUCUCACCUUCUUCCUCCUUCCCCUCUCUCCUCUGCACCCCGAAACUACUUCUCCCUCUUCCCCUCAUCCCCUUUUUUGUCUCCCUCAUAAUCCCGUUCCUUUGUAUGCGUACACCUUGAGACAAUGCUGGGCAAUGGUGCAACAGGAGGAGCAGGAUGUAAGACGUCCGUAGCAACGUUCUCUGAGAGAGUCCGGCGAAGCCGGGACGACCUUUUCCCUUCCAUCCUUCCUCCACUCUUCAUCGUUUUCCCAUUCAUCUCUUCUCCUACAGUACCUGAACUCGCAUACCGUAAAGAUGCAGCUGGAUUCGGUGCGUCACCACCGAACAACAACCCUGGCAAGAUUUCUUUCGCCAGCUCUCUCACAAGUACCGCCCCAUCCUGUUUGCUCAGCCGCUCGACAAUCUGUGCAAGACCAAAUCUCUCAACGAGGGUGGCUUUGUCAGGAUGGCAUUCGCAGACGACUUUGGUGAGUCGGAGGAGGUUGAGUUUGAUGACUGCUUUAGUAGAUCGUUCAAGGGAUUCCGAGAGGCGGGAGAAGAAGGGAGGGUGAGAGAGGGAAGAGGUGAGGGAUGUGGAAAGACGCAGAAGCUUGAGUAAUCUAUUAAUUGGAUAGAGAUUAGCCAAGUAUGUUUGGGACAGGGUGAUGUGAGGGAGGGAUAUGGACGCACGGAUCGAGAAUACCCUCAAAUGACACCCCAGACGCUUGGACAAAGCACCUGACAAGGGAAUCUGAAGCAGACUUCUCCAAUAAGACAUCUUCUACCCGUGCUGUCUCGUCUUGCAUCCUACAGCCGCAACUCAUCAGCAG